UUAAUGGAUGUUUGCAGCUGUUUCUUCUUAUCUUGAGUCGUGCCACAUCCGCAAAUGAAGGUCCUGGAAGCUUUAUUCCAUCCACGUCAUUAAGGUCGACUUUACUUUGAGGGGCAGCAGCUCUUCCCCAAUCAUCUUUUGAGUGCCUUCCAACCUGGGGGCUCAUCUUCCAGCACUAUGUCAGACAGUGUUUCACUGCUAUUCAUAAGGUUUUCACUGGCUAAUGCUUUUCAGAAGUAGAUUGCCAGGUUCUUCUCCCUAGUCUGUCUUAGUCUGGAAGCUCAGCUGAAACCUGUCCUCCAUGGGUGACCCUGCUGGUAUUUGAAUACCGGUGGCAUAGCUUCCAGCAUCAGAGCAACACACAAGCUCCCACAGUACGACAAACUGACAGACACGUGGGGGAACAGACCAUCAAUUGCUCAUAUGCAAGUUCAAGCUGAAACUGAAGAAAAUCAGAGCAAGUCCACAAGAGCCAAAAUACGACCUUGAGUAUAUCCCACCUGAAUUUAGAGACCACCUGAAGAAUAGAUUUGACACAGUGAACACUAGUGACCGAAGACGAGACGAGUUGUGGAAUGACAUCGAGGACAUCAUCCAUGAAGAAAGCAAGAGGUCACUGAAAAGACAGGAAGGAAAGAAAAGCCCAAGAUGGACGUCAGAAGAGACUCUGAAACUUGCUCUCGAACGUCGAGCAGCUGAAGCAAAAGGAAGGAUUGGUGAAGUAAAAGAACUGAACAGGGGAUUUCAAGGGGCCUAUCGAGAAGAUAAAGUGAAGUAUUAUAAUGACAUGUGCAAAGAGCUGGAGAUGGAAAACCAAAAGGGAAGAACACGCUUGGCGUUUCUUAAGCUGAAAGAACUGAAAAAAAAAACUCAAGUCUUGCGUUGCAGUAGUGAAGGAUUCCAUGGGGAAAACAUUAAGUGACGCAGGAAGCAUCAAAAGAAGAUGGAAGGAAUACACAGAGUCAUUAUACCAAAAAGAAUUAGUCGAUAUUCAGGCAUUUCAGGAGGUGGCAUCUGAUCAGGAACCGAUGGUACUGAAGGAAGAAGUCCAAGCUGCUCUGAAGGCCUUGGCGAAAAACAGGGCUCCAGGAAUUGAUGGAAUAUCGGUUGAAAUUUUUCAACAAACAGAUGCAGCGCUGGAGGUGUUCACUUAUCUGUGCCGAGAAAUACGGAAGACAGCUUCCUGGCCAACUGACUGGAAGAGGUUCAUAUUUAUGCCUAUUCCCAAAGAAGGUGAUCCAACCGAGUGUGGAAAUUAUAGAACAAUAUCGUUAACAUCACACGUAAGCAAAUUUUUGCUGAAGAUUAUUCAAAAAUGACUGCAGCAGUAUAUCGACAGGGAACUGCCAGAAAUUCAGGCUGGUUUCAGGAGAGGACGUGGAACCAGGGAUAUCAUUGCUGAUUUCAGAUGGAUCCUGGCUGAAAGCAGAGAAUACCAGAAGGAUGUUUACCUGUGUUUUAUUGACCAUGCAAAGGCAUUCGACUAUGUGUAUCGUGACAAACUAUGGGUAACAUUGCAAAGAGUGGGAAUUCCAGUACACUUAAUUGUGCUCAUGAGGAACCUUUACAUGGAUCAAGAGGCAGUUGUUCGUACAGAACAAGGGGAUACUGAUUGUUUUCAAGUCAGAAAGGUGUGCGUCAGGGCUGUAUUGUUUCACCAUACCUAUUCAGUCUGUAUGGUGAGCAGAUCAUACUAAAAGCCAGACUAUAUGAAGAAGAAUAGGAUAUCAGGAUUGGAGGAAGACUCAUUAACAAUCUGUGUUAUGCAGAUGACACAACCUUGUUUGCUGAAAGUGAAGAGGAAUUGAAGCACUAAGGAAGAUCAAAGAUCACAGCCUUUGGUAUGGAUUACGCCUCAACAUAAAACAAAAAUUCUCACAACUGGACCAAUGAGCAGCAGCAUGAUAAACUGAGAAAAGAUUGAAAUUGUCAAGGAUUUUAUUUUACUUGAAUUCACAAUCAACACCCAUGGAAGCAGCAGUCAAGAAAUCAAAAGACGCAUUGCAUUGGGCAAAUCUGCUGCAAAGGACCUCUUCAAAGUGUUGAAGAGCAGAGGUGUCACCCUGAAGACUAAGGUGCGCCUGACCCAAGCCAUGGUAUUUUCAAUCGCAUCAUAUGCAUAUGAAAGCUGGACAAUGAAUAAGAAAGACCGAAGAAGAGUUGAUGCCUUUGAAUUGUGGUGUUGGUGAAGAAUAUUGAAUAUACCAUGGACUGCCAGAAGAACGAACAAAUCUGUCUUGGAAGAAGUGCGGCCGGGAUGCUCCUUAGAGGCAAGGAUGGCGAGACUGCGUCUUACAUCCUUUGGACAUGUUGUCAGGAGGGAUCAGGUCUCUGGAGAAGGACAUCAUGCUUGUCAGAGUACAGGGUCAGCGAAAAAGUGGAAGACCCUCAACGAGGUGGAUUGACACAGUGGCUGCAACCGUGACCUCAAGCAUAACAACGAUUGUAAGGAUGGUGCAGGACCGGGUAGUCCUUCGUCCUCUUGUGCGUAGGGUCGCUAUGAGUCAGAACCAACUCGACGGCACCUAACAAUAACAACUGAAUUGUAGGGGCUCCUUUGGGUGGAUCAUCCAGGUCCUGGAGGGCACUGAUGGAGUCACCAGGUGACGCCAUGGAGGCCGUAGGGUUUGGAGAAGGGCCACGUAGCAUUUGUGUAGGGACGCAGUUGCUGUGGGAACUCUGGAGGUCCAGGGCCAAGUUGCUGGGGUAACGACUGGGGAUGCCGGUGGCACAGAGGAGGGAGGGUUGCUGGAGUGGGGAACGCUCCGGGCUGAGGCAGAGGCUGCGCCGGCUGCAGCUGUUCCUGUAGUGUGGGGUGAUGCUGGGUCAGCAGGGACUGGCCCCGCGUGCGCUGUUAGAAACUUCGACAAUGCCAGAUACCCAGCUUGGACUUUGCUCUUCUCUGACUCCUCAAACACAGCCCCUGUUCCUAAUUCUUAAAGUUGUCGCUGUCUUUCCUGAGGCAUGCGAUUUAAGCAGAAAAAGGUUGGUUUUAAGAUGUUAGGGAGUGCUGAACGGCUCACCUCUGUUAGUGGGAGGCAGUUUAUGUUGUGGAAAGAGGCUCUGUAGGGGUGCUGCAGGUCAGGCUCCAGGAGGACCGGCCCUCACCGCCUCAUCAGACCAGGCACACAGGUUUGGUUCCUUACUGCCUGAUGGUUUAUGUAAAGCUGAGUGUUUGCAGUGACAGACUAGUGCAUUUACUUUAUAGAACAUAGAUUAUCUCCGACAUUGUUCCGCAGUGUUUAACACACAUGGGCCACAGGCACUGGUGUGUAUUUCACAUGCAUUUAUUUGAUUGUUUUCAGGAAAUUAAGACAUUUCAUGUCUACCCUGACGAUCCUGCUCCCUUGACUCUCUUUUGAUGGUUGUUAACACCUUUUUAUUUUUGAUUUGUGUUCCUAGUGCUUGAAUUAUACGUGGGAAGGUAAAAGACAGGGUUACUAGAAAGAUGUCAGGAGAACCUAGAGUCAGUCCAGCAAGCUACAGUUUGGCAAAUCCUGACUUAAAAUUUUCUAAAUUUUUCAUUCCAUGUAGUAAACAUGGCCAGAUGACUGUGAGGGACUGCGCGUGGUGCCCCUGCUCAGAGGUAGUGCUUCCCGAGGCGUUCAUUUCGAGUUGCUUUCCAAAGGAGCUGAGGAGACACGGAGACACAGACCCGCGAGGACAGAUGCGUCCAUGAGCCCAGGAGCUCUCAGGGUUGCUGGCACCUAGUAGAAGCUGAAAUAGACAAAAACGGACCUGCCCCUAGACUCGCAGCCUAAACUGGGACUUCAGCCUCCAGAGCUGUGAGAAAAUAAAUUUUUGUUCUUUAAAGCCACCGCCUUGUGGUAUUUCUGUGACGACAGGCAGCUCUGGGAAACUGAGACUCUGGUUUAACGCUCUUAGGGGUGGUCCUGAAGUCAGUGCUCGUGAUCGCUCUGCGGUGUCCCUGGAGUGCCUGUCGGAGCACGAGAGCACCAGCCCAGGGUGCCACGGUCCGUUAACUCGGAGAGGCAGUUAACUGAUAUUCACAUCAGCUGCUGGAAGAUCUAAAGUCGGAGUCUGUGGCUCAUGUGUAGUAAGGAUCAGAGGUUUUUUUGUUUUUCUUUUUUUAUAAUUUUUAUUGUGCUUUAGGGGAAGGUUUACAAAUAAGUCAGUCUCUCACACAAAGACCCAUAUGCACCUUGCUACACACUCGCAAUUACUCUCCCCUAUCGAGACAGCCUGCUCUCUCCCUCCACUCUCUGUUUUCGUGUCCAUUUCGCCAGCUUCUAACCCCCUCCACCCUCACAUCUCCCCUCCAGACAGGAGAUGCCAACAUAGUCUCAAGUGUCCACCUGAUCCAAGAAGCUCACUCCUCACCAGCAUCCCUCUCCAACCCAUUGUCCAGUCCAAUCCACGUCUGAAGAGUUGGCUUCAGGAAUGGUUCCUGUCCUGGGGCAACAGAAGAUCUAGGGGCUGUGACCACUGAGGUCCUUCCAGUCUCAGUCAGAACCAUUAAGUCUGGUCUUAUGAGAAUUUGGGGUCUGCAUCCCACUGCUCUCCUGCUCCCUCAGGGGUUCUCUGUUGUGCUUCCAGUCAGGGCAGUCAUCGGUUGUAGCUGGGCACCAUCUAGUUCUUCUGGUCUCAGGAUGAUGUAGUCUCUGGUUCGUGUGGCCCAAGGGUCAGAGUUUUAAGAGGUACAUUUUCUAAACUAGUCUUAGAAUCCUUACUUUCUUACUCCUCUUAUCCUUUUACUUUCCUCCUCCCACCCAAUAUAAUGAAACUUUGCUGUGUUUGUCGUACAUCGCAUAUAAAUUUCUUUACGUUUCAAGAAUAAGGCAGAUUAUUAAUAAGUACAAGUUGCUAAUCCUUUAAGAGCCUCACAGGUAGGUGAUCGCAGCACUGACACUUAGCGUGCAAGUCCCUGUCGUCACUAUCGCAUUGCACCACCAGGGUGUGCCCCCAGGCAUGUGUUUUCAGGGCUCCCACUGUUCCCGCCCGCCUGCAAGGGGGAACAAGCUGUUACAACCUCCGCCCCACUGGCCUCCUCGCUGUGUCUUAACAGUGGGCCAUGUGUGCGCAGCACAGCGGCCCCUGGUCAUAGCUGUAACGUGUGUCCACGUUCAGUGUUGGGUGGGCUCACGCAAACCCUCCUUACCCUUCUUCUUGGCUUUCUGUGGUGGAUGUGAUGGAAUUUAUUUUAACUUCUACUUGUUGUUCCAGCAUUGGGCUUCUGUUCUGAUACUAGAACUAGUCUAUUAGGAAAUUGGAUCACCCUGGUGGUGUAGUGGUUAAGUGCUAUGGCUGCUAACCAAAGGGUCAGCAGUUUGAAUUUGCCAGGCACUCCUUGGAAACUCUAUGGGGCAGUUCUGCUCUGUCCUAUAGGGUCGCUAUGAGUCGGAAUCAACUCAACGGCACUGGGUUUGGUUUUGGUUUUUGGUAUCAGUAAAUUAAGUGAUAUAUUACUGGUGGAAAACCGAAGUUAAAAAGUAGCAGGGUUGCCUACGUCAGUGAAGUCUGUUCCUAUUAGGAACAGUGGAAGUCAUCUUUGUCCCACACACUGGAUCCUUUAUGAGGCUGUUGCCAUAGGAAACCUAAAAACAGCUGCUCCCAGCAAGGCCUGCGGCUGGCUGGUCAGUGUGAAGGACAGAGGAGAACUGUUCUCUGCUUUCUGUUUCAAAGCGUGUCACAAACUGUCUGCAGUUUAGUACUCUUUUUUUUUUUUUUUAACUUUAAUGUUAUUUCUUGGGAUUAUAGGAAUUUUCACUCAAGCUUCCUUUUGUGCUUCCUGCUGUAGUUGAUAAAUGGAUGCAUUUUUUAGCUGUACAUUUUUUAAAAAAAAACAAUUUAUACAUCCUUUUGAAGGAGUUUUUUUUAUUAAGAUAGGGUUCUAGCUCUCCUGGGGUCCUAUAUUAAAAGAAUUGAGAGAAAUCAGGAUAAUUCCCUGUAGAAUAUUCACCUAUUGCACCCCCCCCCCCCGCCACCGACCAACCGCACAUCUCUUUUAGGGAGUAGUGGUGUUUGUAGCCCCUGGCAAUGCAGCAUAGGUCAGCAUUUGACGUUUACUUGGAGCUUCGCCCUGCCCAUGUGUGGGAAAGGGUCAGCUUUGCAGGCUGGGGUUGCUGAGACCUGCAUGACCCAGGAAGGGCCUGUCUUCACCACGGGCCCCUGCCACCUCCGGGGAACUGAGCUCAGAAGGACAUGACCGAAAGGGAUGUAGUGCUUGCCAAGACCUUGAGCCAUACUGUGCCUGAGGGUUUCUAUAACAACACGAUGACGAGCAAUGCUUGCUUUCGCUAUGGUGCCUGGGCUCCAGUGGAUGACACCAGGAAGAGCCUGGUGUCCCUGGUCGGCAGCCCUCUGCACGUGCUGGUACACUUGUUGCUGGAGGAGUGAGCCACGGCCAUGUGACUCCAUGAGGACAAGGCUCUGGACACUCGCUCACGCCUGGUGUGCGUGGACUUGGCUCCACAGCCUUGUCCAUUUGCCGACUGUGCUCUGUGUCCCUUUGCUGUAGCAAACUGUACUCGUGAGCGUAAUAGCUCGGGAGCCUGCCAGUCCUGGUAAAUCAGGGAGCCCGAGGGUGGUCUCAGGGACCCUGGCCCACUCUGUCAUUUAUGCUCCGCAGAAGCUAGCCCAGGCUGGGUUUGGAGAGAAGCAGAGGCAGGGUUGGGAUUUGGUGGGCCUGGCUUUGCUGACAAGUCACUGCACGGCUUUGGGCAGCCCCGGCAGCCCUUUGAAUGGAAAUGCGAUUAGGAUUCUGAAGUUUGGGGCUCUUUUCUGUUGCCUCAUCUCCACCAAAUCCCACUCCUUCCCUGUACCCUGCUCUUAUGCAGAAGUGGAACUGCGUCUCUGUGCGUCAGAGGCCUCAGAGUGGUGGUCCACAGGAGACAUCCCUGCCCCCAGGACAUGUUAAAACUUGAGGUAGGUUCCAGCACUUACAAAUCCUGGGAAAACCUGAUUUCCAGCUUCUCUCGAUGAUGCGGAAGACCUGAUGGUGUGAACUCCGUUCCCUUCUCACGUGGUGACGGUUCUCCACUAAGGGCUGGCUGGGUGGAGGGGGGCCACGCCUGUAUGCAGGCAGCAUCACCUGGCUCCCCGCAGACCGCCCCCCCAGACUCUUGCACCCUGGCCUGCCCCACCCCCUCACACCACGCCAUCCCUGCGCCACCUGAGCGCUGAAACAAGCUGGUUUCCUGCACAGUGUCGGGUGAUUUCAAAAUGCGGUUUCCCAGAUACAACUAAGUAAGGAUUUGUUGUUGUUGUGUCAUGGUGACCCCGUGCACAACAGAGCAGAAUGCUGCCUGGCCCUGCACCAUCCCGUGAUCGGUUUGGAUCAGAAUUUUGUGAGCCGUAGGGUUUUCAUUGGCUAAUUUUUGGAAGUAGAGUACCAGGCCUUUCUUCCUAGCCCAUCUUUUGUCUGGAAGCUCUGCGGAAACCUGUGUAGCAUCAGAACAACACGAAAGCCUCCACGGACAGACUGCGCUGCAUGUGAGGUGCAUCGGCUGGAUUCGAACUCGGUCUCCCACAUGGAAAGUGAGAACUCUACCACUUAACACCACUGUCUCAGUUGUUUUAGAAACAUUCUGUGAUGAUUGUAGGAAAUGGAAAAUACAGAUGCUCGUACAGAAGACAGUCGUUACCCUUUUGAUGGUAGUUCUGUCGUUCCUUUAACCAUGUGGCUGGUGUUGGGCUUUGCAUGUUUCUCCAGGCUGGAAUGUUACCAUUUUAUGGAGAGAGAUUCUGAAAUUUGUAUCCAUUUAGAACCUUUUGUCUGGCGGUUUCAGUGAGAGCUGCUUUAGGAAUAAGCGUGAAUGUUUUAUAUUCCAAUUUGUGAUUAAUUCCUUACAUAAGAGAGGAAUUGAUAGCAAAGUUGAAGGUAAUACUUGUAAGUUAUGUUUCCAGGUUGAAAAAGGAAAAUAUGGAAUUUUUUAAAAAAUAGAUUGUGAUUCCAAGAGUAAUAAAUGGUCUCUGUAAAAAUUUCCAGAAAGGAAUAAAAAAGAAAAAUCCUUAUUCCUACUACCAAAAAUUAGGCUCUGUUCAUUGUUUGGUAUGUAUUUUUUCCUGGUACAUCUGUCUGUCUCUCUGACACACACACCGUAUGUAUUUGUCUUAAACACACACACACAUACACACACCAUAUGUAUUUAUCUGUUUGUCUCACACACACGUCAUAUGUGUUUGUCUGUUACACACACGCACCAUAUGUAUGUCUGUCUCUCUCUCACACACACACCAUAUGUAUUUAUCUGUGUCUCACACACACCAUGUAUAUUUGUUUCUCUCACAUACCCUCCAUGUGUAUUUAUCUGUCUCUAACACACACACCAUAUGUAUUUAUCUGUCUCUUUCACACACAUAUCAUCUGUAUUUAUGUCUCACACACACCAUGUGUAUUUUUCUGUCUCUUUCUCACACAUACACUGUAUUUAUCUGUCUCACACAUAAACACUAUAUGUAUUUGUUUCUCACACACACACCAUAUAUAUUUAUCUGUGUCUCACACACACCAUGUAUAUUUAUGUUUCUCACAUACACCCCGUAUGUAUUUUUCUGUCUCUCACACACACACCAUAUGUAUUUAUCUGUCUCUCACACACACACCAUACGUAUUUACCUGUCUCUCUGUCACACACACAUUAUCUGUAUUUAUGUCUCACACACACACCAUGUGUAUUUCUCUGUCUCUUUCUCACACACACACACCGUAUGUAUUUAUCUGUCUCUCACACACACCGUGUAUGUUUAUCUGUCUCUCACACACACAUGUAUUUAUCUGCCUCUCUCUCACAGACACCAUGUGUAUUUAUCUUUUUCUCUCACACCAUAUGUAUUUAUCCUGCUUUUCCAUUUAAUAUACUGUGAUAAUUUUUUUAUUUAUUAAAUUAUUUGAUUAUAUAUUAUGCAGAUGUCCGUAUCUGCUGUAAUUUAGUUUACUCUGUUUUGCUGUUACACUUAGAUGGUUUAUUUUUAUUAGCAUAUGCAUUGCAGUGACUAAUUCUGUAAUAAGGAGCCCUGGUGGUGCAGUGAUUAAGUGCACAGCUGCUAGUGGAAAGGCUGGCGGUUUGAACCAACCAGCAGCUCUCUGGGAGAAAAUAACCUGGCGAUCUGCUCCCGUAAAGAUUACAGCCGAGGAAACCCUAUCAGGUAGUUCUGUUCUGUCAUUAGAGUUGCUAUGAGUCGGAAUCAACUCGAUGGCAUGUAGCAAACAGUCUGUAAUGUCACAGGAGAAUUUUUUAGAAGUGGAAAUUUAUCAGAUGAAGGGGUAAACAUGUCAUUAAUACUGUUGGUAAAUAUUACAGAUUGAUUUACCACUUUUCCAGCCAUGGGCUGAUUGAAGCGGUCAUUAAAGAUAGCUAGCAAAAUGUCAAAAAUGAAAGGGAACGUGUAAAAAUUGAUAUCCUAGGAAUUAGCGAGCUAAAAUGGACUGGUAUUGGCCAUUUUGAAUUGGACAAUCAUAUAGUCUACUGUACCAGGAAUGAUAGCUAGAAGAGAAAUGGUGUAGCAUUCAUCGUCAAAAGAACAUUUCAGGAUCUAUCCUGAAGUAUAACGCUGUCAGUAAUAGGAUAGUAUCCAUACGCUUACAAGGAAGACCAGUUAAUACGACUGUUAUUCAAAUUUAUACACCAAACACUAAGGCUAAAGGUGAAGAAAUGGAAGGUUUUCAUCAGGUUCUGCAGUUCAGUCUGCAAUUGAUCAAACACGCGGUUAGGAUGCAUUGAUAAUUACUGAUGAUUGGAAUACGAAAGUUGGAAACAGAAAAAGGAUCAGUGCUUGGAAAAUAUGGCCUUGGCAACAGAAACAACGCUGGAGAAUCAUACAAUGGAAUUUUGCAAGACCAACGACUUCUUUAUUGCAAGUACCUUAUUUCACCAACAUAAAUGCUGGCUAUACGCUAGGAACUCGCCAGAUGAAAUACAUAGGAAUAAAAUCGACUACAUUUGUGGAAAGAGAUGAUGGAAAAGCUCAAUAUCAUCGGUCAGAACAAGGCCAGGGGCCGACUGUGGAACAGACCAUCAAUUGCGCCUAUGCAAGUUCAAGUUGAAACUGAAGAAAAUCAGAGCAAGUAAAGGAAAGCCAAAGUAUGACCUCGAGUAUAUCCCACCUGAAUUUAGGGAGCAUCUCAAGAGUAGAUUUGACGUGUUGAACUCUAAUGACCGAACACCAGAGGGGUGUGGAAUGACUUAAGGAAUGUCAUACAUGAAGAAAGCAAGAUGCCUUUGAAAAGACAGGAAAGAAAGAAAAGAGCCAGAUGGAUGUCAGAGGAGAUUCUGAAACUUGUUUUUAGACGAUGAGCGGCUAAAGCAAAAGGAAGAAAUGAUGAAAUAAAAGAACUGAACAGAAGAAUUCAAAGGGCGGCUCGAAAAGACAAACUAUUACGAUGAUAUGUGUAAAGAGCUGGAGGUAAAAAGCCAAAAGGGAAGAACAUGCUCGACAUUUCUCAAGCUGAAAGAACUGAAGAAAAAAUUCAAGGCUUGAAUUGCAAUGCUGAAGGAUUCUAUGGGGAAAAUAUUAAACGACGCAGGAAGCAUUAAAAGAAGUUGGGAAGAAUACUCAGAGUCAUUAUACCAGAAAGAAUUGUUCAACGUUCAACCAUUUCAGGAGGUAGCAUAUGAUCAGGAGCCGAUAGUACUGAAGGAAGAAGCCCAAGCUGCACUGAAGGCAUUGGUGAAAAACAGGGUUUCAGGAAUUGACGGAAUAUCAGUUGAGGCGUUUCAACAAACGGAUGCAGCGCUGAAAGUGCUCACUUGCCUAUGCCAGGAAAUUUGGAAGGCAGCUACCUAGCCAACCGACUGUGAGAGACCGUAUUUAUGCCUGUUCCCAAGAAAGGUGAUCCACCUGAAUGUAGAAAUUAUCAAACAACAUCAUUAAUGUCACAUGCAAGCAAAAUUUUGCUGAAGAUCAUUCAAAAGUGGCUGCAGCAGUAUAUCAACAGGGAACUGCCAGAAAUUCAGGCCGGAUUCAGAAGAGAACGUGGAACCACGGGUAUCAUUGCUGAUGUCAGAUGGAUCCUGGCUAAAUGCAGAGAAUACCAGAAGGAUGUUUACUUGUGUUUUGUUGACUAUGCAAAGGCAUUCGACUGUGUGGAUCGUAACAAAUUAUGGAUAACAUUGCGAAGAAUGGGAAUUCCAGAACACUUAAUUGUGCUUAUGAGGAACCUGUACGUAGAUCAAGAGGCGGUUGUUUAGACAGAACAAGGGGUUACUGAUUGGUUUAAAGCCAGGGAAGAUGUGCAUCAGGGUUGUAUUCUUUCACCAUACCUAUUCAAUCUGUAUGCUGAGCAAAUAAUAUGAGAAGGUGGACUAUAUGAAGAAAAACAGGGCAUCAGGAUUGGAGGAAGACUCAUUAACAAUCUGCGUUUUGCAGAUGACACAACCCUGCCUGCUGAAAGUGAAGAGGACUUGAAGCACUUACUAAAGAAGGUCAAAGACCACAGCCUUCAGUGUGGAUUGUACCUAAACAUAAAGAAAGCAAAAAUUCUCACAACUGGACCAAUGAGCAACAUCAUGAUAAACAGAGAAAAGACUGACGUUGUCAAGAAUUUCGUUUUACUUGGAUCCACAAUCAACACCCAUGAAAGCAGCAGUCAGGAAAUCAAAAGACGCAUUGCAUUGGGCAAAUCUGCUGCAAAGGACCUCUUUAAAGUGUUGACGAGCAAAGCUGUCGCCUUGAAGACUAAGGUGCACCUGACCCAAGCCAUGGUAUUUUUAGUCACAUCAUAUGCAUGUGAAAGCUGGACAACGAAUAAGGAAGACUGAAGAAGAAUUGGCGCUUUCGAAUUGUGGUGUUGGCGAAGCAUAUAGAAUAUACCAUGGACUGCCAAAAGAAUGAACAAAUCUGUCUUAGAAGAAGUACAGCCAGAAUGCUCCUUAGAGGCAAGGAUGGCGAGACUGCGUCUUACAUACUUUGGACAUGUUGUCAGGAGGGAUCAGUCCCUGGAGAAGGACAUCAUGUUUGGCAGAGUACAGGGUCAUCGGAAAAGAGGAAGACCCUCAACGAGGUGGAUUGACACAGUGGCUGCAACAAUGAGCUCAAGCAUAACAACAAUUAUAAGGAUGGCUCAGGACCGGGCAGUGUUUCAUUUUGUGCAUAGGGUCGCUGUGAGUCGGAACCGACUCAAUGGCACUUAACAAUGACGACAACAACAGUGAAACGUGGAAUUUUGGUAUACCUGGAGGUUCACCACAGACCUGUAAAUUCCUUUUUUUUUUUUUUUUUUGGAUUGAACAGUACACGUGUUGUUUUAUAACAUUGGUUAACAACACCACGACAUGUCAGCACUCUCCCUUCUUGACCUUAGGUUCCCUAUUACCAGCUGUCCUGUCCCUUCCUGCCCUCUAGUUCUUGCUCCUGGGCUGGUGUGCCCCGUGAGUCUCAUUUUGUUUUAUGGAUCUGUGUAAUCUUUGUGUGUAGGGUGAACCUCAGGAGUGACUUCAUUACUGAACUAAAAGGGUGUCCGGAGGCCAUACUCUCAGGGUUUCUCCAGUCUCUGUCAGGCCAGUAAGUCUGGUCUUUUUUUUUGUGAGUUAGAAUUUUGUUCUACAUUUUUCUCCAGCUCUGUCCAGGACCCUCUAUUGUGACCCCUGUCAGAGGAGUGAGUGGUAGUAGCCAGGCACCAUCUAGUUGUACUGGAUUCAGUCUGGUGGAAGCCUUGGUAGUUGUGGUCCAUUAGUCCUUUAGACUAAUCUUCCCUUGUGUCUUUAGUUUUCUUCAUUCUCCCUUGCUCUUGAAGGGGUGAGACCAGUGGAGUAUCUUAGGUGGCCAAAUUGCAUUCUUUAAAUGCCAGUAGGUGUGUCCUGAGGGUCCCUAGGUGGCGUAAAGAUUGACAGUUCAAACCCACCCGGUGUUGUGGAAGAGGAGGCCUGGCAAUCUGCUUCCAUUAAGAUUACAGCCAAGAGAACCCUGUGAAUUAGUUCUAAUUCUAGUUUGUAGCACUUGGGGUCGCCAUGAGUUUGAAUUGAUUCAACAGGAACUAACAACAGUAAAAACGUGUGUCCUAAACAGACAGGAAUUCUUACCCAUUUUUACUUCUCACAUAGUAUAUCUCUCUAGUAAAGAGGUGCAGAGAUCCCCAGAUAUGAUACAAUUCAGGCACAAUUUUCCCCAAAAAAUGCAGGUAGUUUGGAUUUCAGCCACACAUGCAUUCAUGGGUGUGAAGUCUUCGCCCGAACGUGCUUGCUCAAGUCUCCAUUACCCAAAUGUAAGUUUCUGCACGAUGGGACAUAAUUUUAAGAGAGAAAACUCUGUCCUAGGCCACCACGUUACCACAGAGCUGAAGACUAGGUGGAUUUUUUUUCCCCUUUAAAAGGAAGGUAGAUAAAAACCCCUGAAAUCACGUGUGUACCUCAGGUUAAGAAGGAAAACGCUGAACAUUCUGAUGGUGAUUAGUGCUGUCUCUGAAUUCAGAUUCUCCUUCUGGCCAGCAUGAAUCAUUUAGGUAGUUGCUUCUGGCCAUCGCACUGUCCCCAAAAUAUAGUGGGAAAUAUGUCUACCAAGUAUACGUGCAGGCCAACGUGUAUUUGUUUUCUUUGUUUCUUUGUGAUGAAAUUGAGGCAAGACUCAUGGUUGUGCUGACCUUGUUUUCUGAGUCCGGACACAGCCUGAGUGAUGCUGGCAUUUCCUCCAUGUGUUGUUACUGGGGACAGUAGACUGGCUGCUGGAAAUGGAGUAGCCCAGACAGCUGGGGCUAAAGGCCACUGGGGUUGUGGAGCUUUGCUUCCUCUGUCUUCAGUGUUGCUAUUGUUAGGUGCCGUUGAGUCAGUUCCAACUGAGCGACCCUGUGUACCACAGAGCGAAACACUGCCCGGUCCUGCACCAUGCCCACAAUCUUUGUUAUGCCUGAGCCCAUCCUUGCAGCCACUCUUUCAGUCCAUCUCAUCGAGGGUCUUCCUCUUUUUCGCUGACCCUCUACUUUACCAAGUAUGAUGUGCUUCUUCAGGGACUGAUCUCUCCUGACAUGCCCAAAGUAUGUGAGAAGUAGUCUCGCCACCCUUGUGUCUGAGGAGCAUUCUGGUUGUACUUCUUCCAAGACAGAUUUGUUCAUUCUUUUGGCAGUCCAUGGUGCAUUCAGUAUUCUUCACCAACACCACAAUUCAAAGGCAUCAAUUCUUCUUCAGUCUUCCUUAUUCAUUGUCCAGCUUUCACAUGCAUAUGAUAUGACUUAAAAUACCAUGGCUUGGGUCAGGUGCACCUUAGUCUUCAAGGCGACAGCUUUGCUCUUCCACACUUUGAAGAGGUCCUUUGCACCAGAUUUGCCCAGUGCAAGAGGUCUUUUGAUUUCUUGACUGCUGCUUCCAUGGGUGUUGAUUGUGGAUCCAAGUAAAAUGAAAUCCUUGACAACGUCAGUCUUUUCUCCGUUUAUCAUGAUGUUGCUUAUUGGUCCAGUUGUGAGGAUUUUUGUUUUCUUUAUGUUGAGGUGCAAUCCAUACUGAAGACUGUGGUCUUUGAUCUUCAUCAGUAAGUGCUUCAAGUCCUAUUCACUUUGAGCAAGCCAGGUUAUGUCAUCUGCAUAACACAGGUUGCUAACAAGUCUUCCACCAAUCCUGAUGCCCUGUUCUUCUUCAUAUAGUCCAGCUUCUUGUAUUAUUUGCUCAGCAUACAGAUUGAAUAGGUAUGGUGAAAGGAUACAACCCUGAUGCACACUUUUCCUGACUUUAAACCACGUAGUGUCCCCUUGUUCUAUCUGAACAACUCUCUCUUGAUCUGUGUACAGGUUCCUCAUGAGCACAAUUAAGUGUUCUAGAAUUCCCAUUCUUCACAGUGUCAUCCAUAAUUUGUUAUGAUCCACAUAGUUGAAUGCCCUUGCAUCAUCAAUAAAACACAGGUAAAUAUCUCUCUGGUAUUCACUGCUUUCAGCCAAGAUCCAUCUGACAUCAGCAGUGAUAGCUUUGGUUCCACGUCCUCUUCUGAAUCGGGCCUGAAUUUGUGGCAGUUCCCUGUUGUUACAGUGCUGCAGCUGCUUUUGAUGAUCUUCAACAAAAUUUUACUCACACUCGGUAUUAAUAUUCUUCGAUAAUUUCUGCAUUCAUUUGGAUCACCCUUCUUGGAAAUGGGCAUAAAUAUACAUCUCUUCCAGUUGGUUGACCAGGUAGCUGUCUUCCAAAUUUCUUCUCAUAGACGGAUGAGCACUUCCAGUGCUGCAUCUGUUUGUUAAAACGUCUCAAUUGACAUUCUGUCAGUUCCUGGAGCUUCAUUUUUUGCCAGUGCCUUCAGUGCAGUUUGGACUUUUUCCUUCUGUACCAUCAGUUCCUGAUCAUACGCUACCUCUUGAAAUGGCUGAACAUCUACGAGUACUUUUUGGUAUAAUGACUCUGUGUAUUCCUUCCAUCUUCUUUUUAUGCUUCCUGUGUCGUUUAAUAUUUUCCCCCAUAGAAUCCUUCACUAUUGCAACUCAAAGCUUGAAUUUUUUCUUAAGUUAUUUCAGCUUGAGAAAUGCUGAGCAUGUUCUUCCUCUUUGGUUUUCUAUCUCCAGCUCUUUGCACAUGUCAUUGUAAUGUUUUAUCUUCUCGAGCUACUCUUUGAAAUCUCUGUUCAGUUCUUUUAAUUCAUCAUUUCCUCCUUUUGCUUUUAGCUGCCCGACGUUCGACAGCAGGUUUCAGAAUCUCUUCUGACAUCCAUUUUGGUCUUUUUCUUCCUUCCUGUCUUUUUAAUGACCUCUUGCUUUCUUCAUGUAUAAUGUCUUUGAUGUCAUUCCACAAUUCAUCUGGUCUUCAGUCAUUAGCUUUCAACAUGUCAAAUCUGUUCUUGAGAUGGUCUCCAAGUUGAGGUGGGAUAUACUCAAGGUCGUACUUUGCCUUUUGUGGACUUGUUCUCAUUUUCAUCGGUUUCAACUUGAACUUGCAUAUGAGCAAUUGAUGUUCUGUUCUGCAGUCGGCCCCUAACCCUCUGCCUGAUGAUAUUGAGCUUUUCCUUUGUCUCUUUCUACGGAUGUACUCGAUUUGACUCCUGUGUAUUCCAUCUGGUGCGGUCCAUGUGUAUACUCACCGUUUAUGUUGAGAAAAAAAAUACUUGGGAUAAAGAAGUUGUUGGUCUUGCAGAAUUCUGUCACGCGAUUCCCUGGCACUGUUUCUGUCACCAAGGCCAUAUUUUCCAACUACUGAUCCUUCUUUGUUUCCAGCUUUCACAUUCCAAUCACCAGUAAUUAUCAGUGCAUCUUGAUUGCAUGUUCGAUCAAUUUCAGACUGCAGAAGUUGGUAAAAACUUCAGUUUCUUCAUCUUUGGCCUUAGUGGUUGGUGUGUAAAUUUGAAUAAUAGUCGUAUUGACUGGUCUUCCUUUUAGGCAUAUGGAUAUUGUCCUGUCACUGACAGCAUUGUAUUUCCAAUAAGGUCUAUUAAAUGUUCAUACAGAAAACUGUUUUGUAAACUGUUUAGACUUUCAGACUGACCCUCAGGUGUGUAACCUUUAUUAUGACCAAGAUAUUAACUCUCUGCAAAUUGUAGUGUUUCUGCUUAUUAUAGGUCCUAUAGGCUUUUUUUUUUUUUAAUUUUUAUUAUGCUUUAAGUGAAAGUUUACAAAUCAAGUCAGUCUCUCACAAAAAAACUUACAUACAUCUUGCUCCAUACUCCCAAUUGUUCUCCCCCUAAUGAGACAGGCUGCUCCCUCCCUCCGCUCUUUUUUCGUGUCCAUUUCACCAGCUUCUAGCCCCCUCUAACCUCUCAUCUCCCCUCCAGGCAGGAGAUGCAGUAUAGUCUCAAGUGUAGUAUAGUCUACCUGAUGGAAGAAGCUCACUCCUCUCCAGCAUCCCUCUCCAACCCAUUGUCCAGUCCAAUCCCUGUCUGAAGAGUUGGCUUUGGGAAUGGUUCCCGUCCUGGGCCAACUUAGAAGGUCUGGCGGCCAUGACCACUGGGGUCCUCCUACUCUUAGUCAGACCAUUAAGUCUUCUUUUUACGAAAAUUUGGGAUCUGCAUCCCAUUGCUCUCCUGCUCCCUCAGGGCUUCUCUGUUGUGUUCCUUGUCAGAGCAGUCAUCGGUUCUAGCUGGGAACCAUCUAGUUCUUCUGGUCUCAGGCUGAUGUAGUCUCUGGUUUAUGUGGCCCUUUCUGUCUCCUGGGCUCGUAAUUACCUUGUGUUAUUGGUGUUCAUCAUUUUCCUUUGAUCCAGGUGGGUGGAGGUCAAUUGAUGCAUCUUAGAUGGCUGUUUGGUAGCAUUUAAGACCCCAGACGCCACUCUUCAAAGUGGGAUGCAGAAUGUUUUCUUAGUAGAUUUUAUUAUGCCAGUUGACUUAGAUGUCCCCUGAAACCAUGGUCCCCAGACCCCUGGCCUCACUAUGCUGGCCUUCGAAGCAUUCAGUUUAUUCAGGAAGUUUCUUUGCUUUUGAUUUAGUCCAGUUGUGCUGACCUCUCCUAUAUUGUGUGCUGUCUUUGCCUUCACCUGUAGUAGUUAUUCUCUACUAUCUAAUUAGCAAUUUUUUUUAAUUAGCAAAUGCCCCUCUCCCACCCUCCCUCCUCGUAACCACAAAAGAAUGUUUUCUUCUCCGUUUAAACUGUUUCUCAAGUUCUUAUAAUAGUGGUCUUAUACAAUAUCUGUCCUUUGGCAACUGACUAAUUUCACUCAAUGUAACGUCUUCCAGGUUCCUCCAUGUUACAAAAUGUUUCAGAUUCAUCACUGUUCUUCAUCAAUGCGUAGUAUUCCAUUGUGUGAAUAUGCCAUAAUUUAUUUAUCCAUUCAUCUGUUGAUGGGCACCUUGGUUGCUUCCAUCUUUUUGCUGUCGUAAACAGUGCUGCAGUAAACAUGGGUGUGCAUAUAUCUGUUCGUGUAAAGGCUCUUAUUCCUCUCGGAUAUAUUCCAGGGAUUGGGAUUGCUAGAUCGUAUGGUAGUUCUAUUUCUAGCUUUUUAAGGAAGCACCAGAUAGAUUUCCAAAGUGGUUGUACCAUUUUACAUUCCCACCAGUAGUGUAUAAGUGUUCCAGUCUUUUCACAGCCUCUCCAGAGUUUAUUGUUGUGUGUUUUUUGGAUUAAUGCCAGCCUUGUUGGAGUGAGAUGAAAUUUCAUUGUAGUUUUGAUUUCCACUUCUCUAAUGGGUAAUGAUGGUGAACAUUUCCUCAUGUAUCUGUUAGCUACUUGAGUGUCUUUUUUAGUGAAGUGUCUAUUCAUAUCUUUUGCCCAUUUUUUAAUUGGGUUAUUUGUCUUUUUGUAGUUGAGUUUUUGUAGUAUCAUGUAGAUUUUAGAGAUCAGGCACUGAUCAGAAAUGUCAUAGCUAAAUACUUUUUCCCAGUCUGUAGGUAAUCUUUUUACUCUUUUGGUGAAGUCUUUGGAUGAGCAUAGGUGUUUGAUUUUUAGGAGCUCCCAGUUACCAAGUUUUUCUUCUGCGUUGUUAGUAAUGUUUUGUAUACUGUUUAUGCUAUGUAUUAGGGCUCUAACGUUGUCCAUAUUUUUUCUUCCAUGAUCUUUAUCGCUUUAGGUUUUAUAUUUAGGUCUUAGAUCCAUUUUGAGCUCAUUUUUGUGCAUGGAGUGAGGUAUGGGUCUUGUUUCAUAUUUUUGCAGAUGGAUAUCUAGUUAUGCCAGCACCAUUUGUUAAAAAGACUGUCUUUUCCCCGUUUAACAGUUUUGGGGCCUUUGUCAAAUAUCAACUGCUCAUAUGUGCAUGGAUUUAUGUCUGUAUUCCCACUUCCGUUCCGUUGGUCUGUGUGUCUCUUGUGCCAGUACCAGGCUGUUUUGACUACUGUGGCGGUCUAAUAGGUUCUAAAAUCAGGUAGAGUAAGGCCUCCGACUUUGUUCUUCUUUUUCAGUAAUGCUUUACUUAUCCGGGGCCUCUUUCCCUUUCAUGUGAAGUUGGUGAUUUGUUUCUUCAUCUCAUUAAAAAAUGUCGCUGGAAUUUGGAUCAGAAUUGUGUUAAAUGUAUAAUCACUUUUGGUAGAAUAGACAUUUUUAUAAUGUUAAGUCUUCCUAUCCAUGAGCAAGGUAUGUUUUCCAGUUAUGUAGGUCUCUCUCGGUUUCUUGCAGAGGAAUUUUGUAGUUUUCUUUGUAUAAGUCUUUUACAUCUCUGGUAAGAUUUAUUCUUAAGUAUUUUAUCUUCUUGGGGCCUACUGUAAAUGGUAUUGAUUUGGUGAUUUCCUCUUCAGUGUUCUUUUUGUUGGUGUAGAGGAAUCCAGCUGAUUUUUGUAUGUUUAUCUUGUAUCCUGAAACUCUGCUGAACUCUUCUAUUAGUUCCAGUAGUUUGCUGGAGAAUUCUUUAAGAUUUUCUGUGUGUAAGAUCCUGUCAUGUGCAAAUAGAGAUACUUCUUUCUUAGUAGUCUGGAUGCCCUUUAUCUCUUUAUCUAGCCGAAUAGCUGUGGCUAGAACCUCCAGCACAGUGUUGAAUAAGAGUGGUGAUAAAGGGCAUCCUUGUCUGAUUACUGAUCUCAAGGGGAAUGCUUUUAGACUCUCUACAUUUAAGAUGAUGUUGGCUUUUGGCUUUUUGUAUUAAAAAAAAAAAAAAAAGAAACCUACUGGCUUUGUAUAAGUAUCCUUUAUUAUGUUGAGGAAUUUUCCUUCCUUUCCUAUUUUGCUGAGAUUUUUUAGCAGGAAUGGGUGUUGAAGUUUAUCAAAUGCCUUUUCUGCAUCAACUGAUAAAAUCAUGUGAUUCUUGUGUCUUUUGUUUUAUUUAUGUGGUAGGUUACAUUAAUUGUUUUUCUAAUGUUGAACCAUCCCUGCAAACCUGGUAUGAACCCCACUUGGUCAUGGCGAAUUAUUUUAUUGAUAUGUUGUUGAAUUCUGUUGGCUAGAAUUUUGUUGGCUAGAAUUUUGUUGAGGAUUUUUGCAUCUAAGUUCAUGAGGUACAUAGGUCUGUAAUUUUUUUUGUGGUGUCUUUACCAGCUUUUGACAUCAGGGAUAUACUGGCUUCAUCGAAUGAGUUUGGUAGUAUUCCGUCCUUUUCUGUGCUCUGAAAUACCUUCAGUAGUAGUGGUAUUUACUGUGAAAGUUUGGUAGAACUCUGCAGUGAAACUUACAGGGCCAGGGCUUUUUUUGUUGGGAGUUGUUUAAUUACCUUUUCAGUCUCUUCUUUUGUUAUGGUUUUAUUUAGUUGUUCUACCUCUGCUUGUGUUAGUUUAGGUAGGUAGUGUGUUUCUAGAAAUUCAUCCGUUUCUUCUAGGUUUUCAAAUUUGUCUGAGUAUAGUUUUUCAUAGUAAUCUGAUAUAAUUCCUUUAAUUUCAGUUGGGUCUGUUGUAGUAUCACCCAUCUCAUUUCUUAUAGGGGUUAUUUGCUUCCUCUCCUGCUUUUCUUUUGUCAGUCUGGCCAGUGGUAUUAUCAGUUGUGUUAAUUUUUUCAGAGAACCAGCUUUUGGUCUUGUUAACUCUUUCAGUUGAUUUUCUGUUCUCUAUUUCGUUUAGUUCUGCUAUCAUUUUUAUUAUUGGCUUUAUUCUGGUGUCUGAGGGUUUCUUUUGUUGCUCUCUUUCUAUUUGUUCAAGUUGUAGGGUUAAUUCUUUGAUUUUGGCCACUUUCUUUUGUAUGUGUGCAUUUAUUGAUAAAAAUUGACCUCUGAGCACUGCUUUCGCUGUGUCCCAAAGGUUCUGAUAGGAAGUGUUUUCAUUGUCAUUGGAUUCCAUGAAUUUCUUUAUUCUAUCCUUGAUGUUUUCUAUAUAACCCCGUCUUUUUUGACCAGGGUAUUGUUCAGUUUCCAACUUUUUGAUUCCUUUUCUCUACUUUUUCUGUUACUGAUUUCCACGUUUAUGGCCUUAUGGUCAGAGAAGAUGCUUUGUAAUAUUUCAAUGUUUUGGAUUCUGCUAAGGCUGUAGAGUUGCUGUGAGUCAUAAUUGACUCGACAGCACUGAGUUUGGUUUUUUUGGUUGAAGGCUUGCUGUAUGACCUAAUGUGUGUUCUAUUCUAGAGAAUGUUCCAUGUGCACUAGAAAAGAAAGUAUACUUGGCUGGUGUUGGGUAGAGUGUUCUGCAUAUGUCUGUGAGGUCAAGUUCGUUGAUUGUGGCAUUUACAUCUUCCGUGUCUUUAUUGAGCUUCUUUCUGUAUUCUCUAUCCUUCACUGAAAGUGGUGUGUUGAAGUCUCCUACUAUAAUUGUGGCACUGUCUCACUUUUCAGUGCUGUUAGAGUUUGUUUUAUGUAUCUUGCGCCGUCAUUGGGUGCAUAAAUAUUUAAUAUGGUUAUAUCCUCCUGGUAUGUUGCCCCUUUAAUCAUUACAUAGUGCCCUUCCUUAUCCUUUGUGGUGGGUUUAACUUUAAAGUCUAUUUUUCCAGAAAUUAAUAUUGCCACUCCUGCUCUUUUUUGAUUGUUGUUUGCUUGAUGUAUUUUUUUUUCCAUCCUUUGAGUUUUAGUCUGUGUCUCUAAGUCUAAGGUGUGUCUCUUGUAGGCAGCAUAUAGACGGAUCGUGUUUUUUUAAUCCAUUCUGCCACUCUGUCUCUUUAUUGGUGCACUCAGUCCAUUUACAUUCAGCAUAAUUCUGGAUAGGUAUGAAUUUAGUGCUGUCAUUUUGAUUUCUUUUUUUGUGUGUUGUUGACUGUUUUUCCCACUUAAUUUUUUGUGCUGAGUAGUUUAUUUUUGUCUUUUCCUCUUACUCGUCGUAGUUCGUUUUGUUUCUGCUGAGUCUCUAUUUUUUUUCUUGUAUUUAUUUUAAUGAGCAGUUAGUCUCCUUUUUGGUUACCUUAAUAUUUACCCCUAGUUUUCUAAGUUUGAACCUAACUUUUUUUUCUUUAUAUACCCUUUCUCUUCUUAGGAGGAAUUUCUAAAGUAUUGUUUUAUAGUGUGUUUUUCUGUAUAUAUGCCUAGGCAUAAUUAUUGAAGGAAGACAUGAUGAAGUCAUCAGAUGCUUGCACGUAAAUGUAGAAAUCAUAUGAUGUGGCAACUACCAAGGUGUACUUUUCCAGGAGAUAGAAGGAAGCAGAGAGUUAGGAACCUCGUCCCACCAAGAAAACAGCACCAGGAACAGAGCCCAUUCUGUGAACAUGGGGUCCCUGCACCUGAGAAGCUCGUUGACCAGGAGAAGAUUGAGGACAAGGACCUUCUUCCAGAGCUGACAGAGAGAAAGCCUUCCCCUGGAGUGGACACUCUGAAUUUGGGUUGUAACCUACUAGACUGUGAGAAGAUAAAAUUCUCUUGGUUAAAGCCAUCCUCUUGUGGUAUUUGUUAUAGCAGCACUAGAUGACUAAGAGAAACAGUGUUCUUGGUGAUAGGAUUUUGAGAUGGUGAGUAACAAACUUAAGUACAGUCCUCUCAAAUUUCCUGGUAGCAGCAUUCCUGGAAAAUUCAGAGUAUAUUAAAAUAAAGCCGUUUCUUGGUUAUAUACAAAAACAAAAGUGAGCUUCCUGGUUCAGGUAAUUAUAAACAGAGGGACUUCUACACGUUGUAGGACUGGGCCCAGGCCCCUGAAUGUUCAUGGCUCCUCCCAGUGGUUGUUGUGAUGACCAAAACACCUCCAAAAAUGUCUAGACCGCCCCCAGGGAGCUGUACUACCUUGUUGAGAACCACUGUUUGAGGGUCAUCCCUUUCAUUGUGCUUGUAGUAUUAUAGGUUAUGAAUUUUUCUGUUUCCUCUAACAAUGCUUUUCUGUAAGUUUAAUUCCUGUUGUUUGU